rnacentral:rRNA from 1 species
AUUGAACGCUGGCGGCAGGCCUAACACAUGCAAGUCGAACGGUAACAGGAAGCAGCUUGCUGCUUCGCUGACGAGUGGCGGACGGGUGAGUAAUGUCUGGGAAGCUGCCUGAUGGAGGGGGAUAACUACUGGAAACGGUAGCUAAUACCGCAUAAUGUCGCAAGACCAAAGAGGGGGACCUUCGGGCCUCUUGCCAUCGGAUGUGCCCAGAUGGGAUUAGCUUGUUGGUGGGGUAACGGCUCACCAAGGCGACGAUCCCUAGCUGGUCUGAGAGGAUGACCAGCCACACUGUGACUGAGACACGGUCCAGACUCCUACGGGAGGCAGCAGUGGGGAAUAUUGCACAAUGGGCGCAAGCCUGAUGCAGCCAUGCCGCGUGUAUGAAGAAGGCCUUCGGGUUGUAAAGUACUUUCAGCGGGGAGGAAGGGAGUAAAGUUAAUACCUUUGCUCAUUGACGUUACCCGCAGAAGAAGCACCGGCUAACUCCGUG